rnacentral:rRNA from 1 species
UACGGAGGAUCCGAGCGUUAUCCGGAUUUAUUGGGUUUAAAGGGUGCGUAGGUGGAUUGGUAAGUCAGUGGUGAAAGUUUGCAGCUUAACUGUAAAAUUGCCGUUGAAACUGCCGGUCUUGAGUGCAAAUGAGGUAGGCGGAAUGCGUCGUGUAGCGGUGAAAUGCUUAGAUAUUACACAGAACACCAAUUGCGUAGGCAGCUUACUGAGCCGACACUGACGCUGAGGCACGAAAGCGUGGGGAUCGAACAGGAUUAGAUACCCU